AAGCGAGCGCAUGUACAGUCGAGUGCUGGUGGUGGGACAGCGUUCUUUUUUCGAUUUUCUUGAAGAAAUGCCAGCUUGUUGUGCGGUGAACUACACGAGGCGACCAGAAAAGUUUUCAGGGAAGACAUUUCACGCUUAAGUUUCUGCGCUCGAAGCCGCAAAUCUUCCAGGAAUGGGUGAUUAGCCUCAAAAGAGACAAAUGGAAACCAACUCCAGGCAGGAGGCUUUGCAGCGACCAUUUUACAGAGUCUUGUUUUGACCGCUCGGGUGAAAGAACCCGUCUUCGGGACGAUGCCGUCCCAACGCUGAUUUGUUUCCCGGAGCAUUUGCAGAAGAAAACUCCGAAAAGGAAAUCGCCCAGGGAGAUAGGCCAAAUCCUUCACUUCACCCCGGAGGAUGAGACGCCCAGGAGCCCAGUGGUGCAGUCUCCUGAGGCUUCGGAUAAAAUACUUGACCACGACUACACUCUUUAAAACUGAUGGUAGUGCUAAAAAGGACGAACACACGGUGAAAAGACGACACGACGACGAGGGAACGCUUUUAUUGUUUUAUUUCAUUGACGACUACGCUGUCUGGUACACUCCAAAGACUAAAAAGGAGGCUUGAUAAGGGUACAGGCGCUGAAGAGGGCAUCAAGAAUAAGCUGAGACUUAGCCAGCAACAGGAGCGUCGACUGAAGACAAAGGUCACAUCACUUAGUGAAAUUGUCGUUGACCUCAAAAACAAGCAUCUCAUUUCAGACUAUGUGAGCACCAUGCUUGAAAAGUGCUUCUCAGGAGUGCCCCUGGAAGUUAUGCAACACCUCUUGAACCAAUCAAGCAAAAGUGACGAACCUGCUAGGCCGAGCCGAGAGAAGUACCCGCCCACAUGCGCAUGUUUGCCCUGAUAGUUCAGUUUUAUUCCACAAAGGCAUACAAUUACGUAAGAGAAAGUUUUGAUUGUGCCUUGCUGCACCUGCCUACCACAACAAAGUAGCCAUCGUGGUCAUCAUAACUCAAUAAAUGGAGAACCUGGCUUCACAAGUUAAGCUAUAAAUGCCAUUCGUACGAAGGCUAUAGUGAAGCCAGAAAAAAACCACAAGAAACUUCGAAGUAGCCUCAUAGUGGACGAGAUGGCAAUCAGAAAACACAUAGAAUGGGAUGGACGCAAGUUUCGAGGUUGUGUAGAUAUAGAUAAUGAAAUGGACGAUGACAGCAACAAUGUUGCAAGUGAAGCUAUGAUUUAUAUGCUUGUAUCUCUUGACUCGCACUGGACCAUUCCUUUGGAAGUUGCACCGGU